AUGUCACUGCUGGAAGCAUUUGCCUUCUCCUCCUGGGCUCUUGGACUUGGAUUAUCAAAAGUGGAGCAGUUCCAGCUAUCCAUUUCCACGGAAGUCAAGAAAAGUAUUGACAUACCUUGCAAGAUAUCGAGCACAAGGUUUGAAACAGAUGUCAUUCACUGGUACCGGCAGAAACCAAAUCAGGCUUUGGAGCACCUGAUCUAUAUUGUCUCAACAAAAUCCGCAGCUCGACGCAGCAUGGGUAAGACAAGCAACAAAGUGGAGGCAAGAAAGAAUUCUCAAACUCUCACUUCAAUCCUUACCAUCAAGUCCGUAGAGAAAGAAGACAUGGCCGUUUACUACUGUGCUGCGUGGGAUUAC